UGUUAUUUUGGCAGAAUAGUGCAAUAGAUUUAGAAUCUGUUUAAGUAAGUUUAAUAUUCUACAUAUAACA
rnacentral:tRNA from 1 species